UAUAAACUUAUACUCUAAUUAAUGUUAAUUUAGAAUUAUUUUUGUUAGUGAUUUUUAAUUUUAGGGUGAAAUCAGAAAUUAUUUUUAUUUUAAUUCUAAAUUGUAAGAUUUAGUAAACAAGCCAGAUUAGUACCUGGUUAGAUAAAAUUUAAAAGAGCAGGAGUAAAGUUGUAUUUAAACUGUAAGAAUAUUGGCAGGUUUUUAAAUUAUCUUUGGAGGUUGAGUAGUAAUUGAGAACCCUCAUUAACAACUUUUUUUAUUGGCGCAUGUAUGAUCGUUUAUUUUAUUCUUAAGGAUUGUAAUUUUAAUUUUUGGUUGUAAAAAUAGAUAGAUAUCUGGCUUAUGAAAAAGAUUUAAUUUGACCUACAAUAAAUAAUUUUGUGGAUGCCCGGCUUAGUGGCCCGGCUGAAAUUGUAAAAGACAGUAAACCUCUUUUCAUGGGGGGUUGAAGUUUAUUUAAAAACGGUACAAAUCAUCCAUCAAUUGCCUAUAGG
rnacentral:ncRNA from 1 species